CCUACGGGGGGCAGCAGUCGAGAAUCAUUCACAAUGGGGGAAACCCUGAUGGUGCGACGCCGCGUGGGGGAAUGAAGGUCUUCGGAUUGUAAACCCCUGUCAUGUGGGAGCAAAUCAAAAAGAUAGUACCACAAGAGGAAGAGACGGCUAACUCUGUGCCAGCAGCCGCGGUAAUACAGAGGUCUCAAGCGUUGUUCGGAAUCACUGGGCGUAAGGCGUGCGUAGGCUGUUUCGUAAGUCGUGUGUGAAAGGCGCGGGCUCAACCCGCGGACGGCACAUGAUACUGCGAGACUAGAGUAAUGGAGGGGGAACCGGAAUUCUCGGUGUAGCAGUGAAAUGCGUAGAUAUCGAGAGGAACACUCGUGGCGAAGGCGGGUUCCUGGACAUUAACUGACGCUGAGGCACGAAGGCCAGGGGAGCGAAAGGGAUUAGAUACCCGAGUAGUC
rnacentral:rRNA from 1 species